GUGGGGAAUCUUGCGCAAUGGGCGAAAGCCUGACGCAGCAACGCCGCGUGCGGGAUGAAGGCCUUCGGGUUGUAAACCGCUUUCAGCAGGGACGAAUCUGACUGUACCUGCAGAAGAAGCCCCGGCUAACUACGUGCCAGCAGCCGCGGUAAUACGUAGGGGGCAAGCGUUAUCCGGAUUCAUUGGGCGUAAAGCGCGCGUAGGCGGCUUGCUAAGCGAGGUGUGAAAACCGGGGGCUCAACCCGCGGCCUGCACCUCGAACUGGCAGGCUUGAGUCUGGUAGAGGAAAGUGGAAUUCCCAGUGUAGCGGUGAAAUGCGCAGAUAUUGGGAGGAACACCAGUGGCGAAGGCGGCUUUCUGGGCCACGACUGACGCUGAGGCGCGAAAGCUAGGGGAGCGAACAGGAUUAGAUACCCGGGUAGUCC
rnacentral:rRNA from 1 species